CCUUGAAAGCAUGCUUUUGCAAGCUAUACCAGUUAGACCCGAAAUGUUUGCAAUAAUUAUGGCUGAGACGCGCCUUGCGUGCAUAGUUUCUUGUCAUUAUUAUGAUACAUGAUUAUCGGAGGUUUCAGAAAAACUUUAAUCAAUCAUUAAAAGCUAACAUGUUGGAGCAAUGUGACUAGGCCGCAUCGACGAGGACAAUGUGACGGGCUGGUGAAAAAGUCGGAUUGAUGCAGUGUGUUUGAGGUGAUUGCACAUCCACACGUGGACAAAACGGUGGUGGACUUGCAGACGAAGGAAGGCCUGCGGUCCCACGAUUUUGCAAUGGAGCUGGACUUGAGUGUGGAUGGAUCAAAGAAGUAACGGCAAAGGGUUGGGCUGCGGUGUCAGAGAAAUGAACAUGGUUACCAUAAAGGACAAGAUGAUACCAUGACCUAUUAAUGAUGAUGCUUUUGCAUUCCCUGAUCUAUUUUUGAAAUGGAAAAUAAAA